rnacentral:lncRNA from 1 species
GGACCCAGGGUGGGGUGGGGCAGGGCGGGCGGAAGGGGGCCGGAUCCGGGGGUGGGGUGAGGUAGGACCGGCGGAGAGGUCGGCACCGCCCCAGGACCCUGUCCGCAGGAGCAGCACAGCAGGCAGCUGCAGGAGCAGUGGGAGGAGCUGUCGAGUCAGCUCUUCUACUACGGAGGAGAACCGCAGAGCCAGAAGAGCACGGAGCAGCAACUCGCAGCCCAGUUGGUGACGCUGCAGAAUGAACUGGAGCUGGCGGAGACCAAAUGCGCCUUGCAGGAGGAGAAGCUGCAGCAGGGCGCGCUGCAGACAGCGGAGGCCUGGGCCAUAUUCCAGGAGCAGACCGUAGUCCUGCAGGAGGUGCAGGUGAAGGUGAUGGAGGCUGCGGAGGAGCUGGACGCCUGGCAGAGUGGCCGGGAACUGUAAGGGAGU